rnacentral:rRNA from 1 species
UACAGAGGGGGCAAGCGUUGUUCGGAAUUACUGGGCGUAAAGGGCGCGUAGGCGGCCUUCUAAGUCGAACGUGAAAUCCCCGGGCUCAACCCGGGAACUGCGUCCGAUACUGGAAGGCUUGAAUCCGGGAGAGGGAUGCGGAAUUCCAGGUGUGGCGGUGAAAUGCGUAGAUAUCUGGAGGAACACCGGUGGCGAAGGCGGCAUCCUGGACCGGCAUUGACGCUGAGGCGCGAAAGCCAGGGGAGCAAACGGG